CAUAGGUUAAUGAGGCGAACCGGGGGAACUGAAACAUCUAAGUACCCCGAGGAAAAGAAAUCAACCGAGAUUCCCCCAGUAGCGGCGAGCGAACGGGGAGCAGCCCAGAGCCUGAAUCAGUGUGUGUGUUAGUGGAAGCGUCUGGAAAGGCGCGCGAUACAGGGUGACAGCCCCGUACACAAAAAUGCACAUACUGUGAGCUCGAUGAGUAGGGCGGGACACGUGGUAUCCUGUCUGAAUAUGGGGGGACCAUCCUCCAAGGCUAAAUACUCCUGACUGACCGAUAGUGAACCAGUACCGUGAGGGAAAGGCGAAAAGAACCCCGGCGAGGGGAGUGAAAAAGAACCUGAAACCGUGUACGUACAAGCAGUGGGAGCACGCUUAGGCGUGUGACUGCGUACCUUUUGUAUAAUGGGUCAGCGACUUAUAUUCUGUAGCAAGGUUAACCGAAUAGGGGAGCCGAAGGGAAACCGAGUCUUAACUGGGCGUUAAGUUGCAGGGUAUAGACCCGAAACCCGGUGAUCUAGCCAUGGGCAGGUUGAAGGUUGGGUAACACUAACUGGAGGACCGAACCGACUAAUGUUGAAAAAUUAGCGGAUGACUUGUGGCUGGGGGUGAAAGGCCAAUCAAACCGGGAGAUAGCUGGUUCUCCCCGAAAGCUAUUUAGGUAGCGCCUCGUGAAUUCAUCUCCGGGGGUAGAGCACUGUUUCGGCAAGGGGGUCAUCCCGACUUACCAACCCGAUGCAAACUGCGAAUACCGGAGAAUGUUAUCACGGGAGACACACGGCGGGUGCUAACGUCCGUCGUGAAGAGGGAAACAACCCAGACCGCCAGCUAAGGUCCCAAAGUCAUGGUUAAGUGGGAAACGAUGUGGGAAGGCCCAGACAGCCAGGAUGUUGGCUUAGAAGCAGCCAUCAUUUAAAGAAAGCGUAAUAGCUCACUGGUCGAGUCGGCCUGCGCGGAAGAUGUAACGGGGCUAAACCAUGCACCGAAGCUGCGGCAGCGACGCUGAUGCGUUGUUGGGUAGGGGAGCGUUCUGUAAGCCUGUGAAGGUGUGCUGUGAGGCAUGCUGGAGGUAUCAGAAGUGCGAAUGCUGACAUAAGUAACGAUAAAGCGGGUGAAAAGCCCGCUCGCCGGAAGACCAAGGGUUCCUGUCCAACGUUAAUCGGGGCAGGGUGAGUCGACCCCUAAGGCGAGGCCGAAAGGCGUAGUCGAUGGGAAACAGGUUAAUAUUCCUGUACUUGGUGUUACUGCGAAGGGGGGACGGAGAAGGCUAUGUUGGCCGGGCGACGGUUGUCCCGGUUUAAGCGUGUAGGCUGGUUUUCCAGGCAAAUCCGGAAAACUAAGGCUGAGGCGUGAUGACGAGGCACUACGGUGCUGAAGCAACAAAUGCCCUGCUUCCAGGAAAAGCCUCUAAGCAUCAGGUAACAUCAAAUCGUACCCCAAACCGACACAGGUGGUCAGGUAGAGAAUACCAAGGCGCUUGAGAGAACUCGGGUGAAGGAACUAGGCAAAAUGGUGCCGUAACUUCGGGAGAAGGCACGCUGAUAUGUAGGUGAAGUCCCUCGCGGAUGGAGCUGAAAUCAGUCGAAGAUACCAGCUGGCUGCAACUGUUUAUUAAAAACACAGCACUGUGCAAACACGAAAGUGGACGUAUACGGUGUGACGCCUGCCCGGUGCCGGAAGGUUAAUUGAUGGGGUCAGCGCAAGCGAAGCUCUUGAUCGAAGCCCCGGUAAACGGCGGCCGUAACUAUAACGGUCCUAAGGUAGCGAAAUUCCUUGUCGGGUAAGUUCCGACCUGCACGAAUGGCGUAAUGAUGGCCAGGCUGUCUCCACCCGAGACUCAGUGAAAUUGAACUCGCUGUGAAGAUGCAGUGUACCCGCGGCAAGACGGAAAGACCCCGUGAACCUUUACUAUAGCUUGACACUGAACAUUGAGCCUUGAUGUGUAGGAUAGGUGGGAGGCUUUGAAGUGUGGACGCCAGUCUGCAUGGAGCCGACCUUGAAAUACCACCCUUUAAUGUUUGAUGUUCUAACGUUGACCCGUGAUCCGGGUUGCGGACAGUGUCUGGUGGGUAGUUUGACUGGGGCGGUCUCCUCCUAAAGAGUAACGGAGGAGCACGAAGGUUGGCUAAUCCUGGUCGGACAUCAGGAGGUUAGUGCAAUGGCAUAAGCCAGCUUGACUGCGAGCGUGACGGCGCGAGCAGGUGCGAAAGCAGGUCAUAGUGAUCCGGUGGUUCUGAAUGGAAGGGCCAUCGCUCAACGGAUAAAAGGUACUCCGGGGAUAACAGGCUGAUACCGCCCAAGAGUUCAUAUCGACGGCGGUGUUUGGCACCUCGAUGUCGGCUCAUCACAUCCUGGGGCUGAAGUAGGUCCCAAGGGUAUGGCUGUUCGCCAUUUAAAGUGGUACGCGAGCUGGGUUUAGAACGUCGUGAGACAGUUCGGUCCCUAUCUGCCGUGGGCGCUGGAGAACUGAGGGGGGCUGCUCCUAGUACGAGAGGACCGGAGUGGACGCAUCACUGGUGUUCGGGUUGUCAUGCCAAUGGCACUGCCCGGUAGCUAAAUGCGGAAGAGAUAAGUGCUGAAAGCAUCUAAGCACGAAACUUGCCCCGAGAUGAGUUCUCCCUGACUCCUUGAGAGUCCUGAAGGAACGUUGAAGACGACGACGUUGAUAGGCCGGGUGUGUAAGCGCAGCGAUGCGUUGAGCUAACCGGUACUAAUGAACCGUGAGG
rnacentral:rRNA from 1 species